rnacentral:rRNA from 1 species
GUACACUCCUGCGGGAGGCAGCAGUGGGGAAUUUUGGACAAUGGGCGAAAGCCUGAUCCAGCCAUGCCGCGUGCAGGAUGAAGGCCUUCGGGUUGUAAACUGCUUUUGUACGGAACGAAACGGCCUUUUCUAAUAAAGAGGGCUAAUGACGGUACCGUAAGAAUAAGCACCGGCUAACUACGUGCCAGCAGCCGCGGUAAUACGUAGGGUGCAAGCGUUAAUCGGAAUUACUGGGCGUAAAGCGUGCGCAGGCGGUUAUGUAAGACAGUUGUGAAAUCCCCGGGCUCAACCUGGGAACUGCAUCUGUGACUGCAUAGCUAGAGUACGGUAGAGGGGGAUGGAAUUCCGCGUGUAGCAGUGAAAUGCGUAGAUAUGCGGAGGAACACCGAUGGCGAAGGCAAUCCCCUGGACCUGUACUGACGCUCAUGCACGAAAGCGUGGGGAGCAAACAGGAUUAGAAACCCUAGUAGUCCCAUGA